GUCUUCUUGUCGGAGUGCCCCUCGGGGCUGAGACCGUUAAUUCGGGAUCCGCGGAACCUGAUCAGGUUAAUACCUGCGAAGGGAACAAGAGUAAAACAGCU
rfam:Erwinia sp. Leaf53 contig_17, whole genome shotgun sequence.